rnacentral:rRNA from 1 species
CCCUUAGAUGUCCUGGGCCGCACGCGUGCUACACUGACACUUACACCGAGUUUUUCCAAUGCCGAAAGGCCAUUGGUAAUCAGCAAUAAGUGUCGUGAUGGGGAUAGAUCUUUGGAAUUAUUGAUCUUGAACGAGGAAUGCCUAGUAAUCGUAGGUCAUCAGCCUGCAUUGAUUACGUCCCUGCCCUUUGUACACACCGCCCGUCGCACCUACCGAUUGAAUGGUCCGGUGAAGCCUCCGGAUUGGCGCGCACCUCGGUGCCGCCGAGAAGUUGGCUAAACCUUACCAUUUAGAGGAAGGUGAAGUCGUAACA